rnacentral:rRNA from 1 species
GAUGAACGCUGGCGGCGUGCCUAAUACAUGCAAGUCGAGCGAACAGAUGAGGAGCUUGCUCCUCUGACGUUAGCGGCGGACGGGUGAGUAACACGUGGAUAACCUACCUAUAAGACUGGGAUAACUUCGGGAAACCGGAGCUAAUACCUGAUAAUAUAUUGAACCGCAUGGUUCAAUAGUGAAAGACGGUUUUGCUGUCACUUAUAGAUGGAUCCGCGCCGCAUUAGCUAGUUGGUAAGGUAACGGCUUACCAAGGCGACGAUGCGUAGCCGACCUGAGAGGGUGAUCGGCCACACUGGAACUGAGACACGGUCCAGACUCCUACGGGAGGCAGCAGUAGGGAAUCUUCCGCAAUGGGCGAAAGCCUGACGGAGCAACGCCGCGUGAGUGAUGAAGGUCUUCGGAUCGUAAAACUCUGUUAUUAGGGAAGAACAAAUGUGUAAGUAACUAUGCACGUCUUGACGGUACCUAAUCAGAAAGCCACGGCUAACUACGUG